rnacentral:rRNA from 1 species
UACGGAGGAUCCGAGCGUUAUCCGGAUUUAUUGGGUUUAAAGGGUGCGCAGGCGGGAGAUUAAGUCGGCGGUGAAAUUUUGCAGCUCAACUGUAAAAGUGCCUUCGAAACUGGUUUCCUUGAGUGUAGAUGAAGUAGGCGGAAUUUGUGGUGUAGCGGUGAAAUGCAUAGAUAUCACGAGGAACUCCGAUUGCGAAGGCAGCUUACUAAGCUACUACUGACGCUCAUGCACGAAGGCGUGGGGAUCAAACAGGAUUAGAUACCCU